rnacentral:tRNA from 1 species
AAUGAUGAGCCUGAAUAAAGGACUAUCGUGAUAGGAUAAAAUAUGUAGUACAAAUCAAGAGCUACCUUCAUUA